UGGCAGGUACAGAGGGGUGCUACCGGGUGACCGGAUGCCGAUCUCGAAAACCUGUCCCAGUUCGGACUGGAGUCUGCAACCCGACUCCACGAAGUUGGAUUCGCUAGUAAUCGCGCAUCAGCCAUGGCGCGGUGAAUACGUUCCCGGGCCUUGUACACACCGCCCGUCAAGCCAUGGGAGCCGGGGGCGCCUGAAGUCCGGGACCGCGAGGACCGGCCUAGGGCGAAACUGGUGACUGGGGCUAAGUCGUAACAAGGUAAC
rnacentral:rRNA from 1 species